UCAGCGUCACUGACGCCGACCAUAGUAACGACGACAGAGUCAUGUUGUCCAUGUCUUCCACUGACCCAAACCUUCCCUUCCGAAUCACAGAGGAUGGAAAUAUGUUGGCCGUGUCCCUCUUAGAUCGGGAAGCCCGAGAUUUCUACGAGAUUGUGCUCUUGGCCUCUGACAAUGGGACCCCACCAAGAAUGAACAUCAGCGCCAUCAGAAUUAGCAUCACGGAUAUAAAUGACAAUGAACCCAUCUUCAGCCAGGAG